rnacentral:rRNA from 1 species
UACGGGGGGGGCAAGCGUUGUUCGGAAUUACUGGGCGUAAAGGGCGCGUAGGCGGCCUUCUAAGUCGAACGUGAAAUCCCCGGGCUCAACCCGGGAACUGCGUCCGAUACUGGAAGGCUUGAAUCCGGGAGAGGGAUGCGGAAUUCCAGGUGUAGCGGUGAAAUGCGUAGAUAUCUGGAGGAACACCGGUGGCGAAGGCGGCAUCCUGGACCGGUAUUGACGCUGAGGCGCGAAAGCCAGGGGAGCAAAGCGGG